GAUGAACGCUGGCGGCGUGCCUAAUACAUGCAAGUCGAACGCUAACGCAAGGAGCUUGCUCUUUCCGGGUGAGUGGCGAACGGGUGGGUAACGCGUAGGUAACCUGCUUGUUAGCGGGGGAUAACUAUUGGAAACGAUAGAUAAUACCGCAUAACAGUAGAUGUUGCAUGAUGUCUACUUAAAAGGUGCCAUUGCCCCACUACCAGAUGGACCUGCGUUGUGUUAGCUAGCUGGUGAGGUAACGGCCCACCAAGGCGACGGUACAUAGCCGGCCGGGGUGGGGGGUCGGCCAACAUGGGACUGGGACACGGCCCCGACUCCUACGGGAGGCAGCAGGCGGGAAUCAUCGGCAAUGGACGGAAGUCCGACCGAGGAACGCCGCGGAAGGGAAGGAGGGUCUCGGAUCGUAAAGGUCCGUUGUAAGAGAAGGACGAGUGUGAGAGUGGAAAGUUCACGCUGUGACGGUAUCUAAACAGAAAGGGACGGCUAACUACGUG
rnacentral:rRNA from 1 species